AACCUUUGACUAUUGUACUUUAAAUACUGUCAGACAAGGAGACUUUACCUAACCUGCCCGGCUUAGUUUCAUAUGCAAGUUCAGCAAAGCUUGUACUAUACACC